UCUAAAAUGGCAGAUAGAUGCAUAGGAUUUAAGCUCCUACUAGGAAGACAAGUCUUCUUUUAGAA
rnacentral:tRNA from 1 species